GAUACGUCUAUGGUGUGUGUGUGUUUGUGUGUGUGUGUGUGUGUGUGUAUACACACACACACACACACGCAUACACACACACAUAUAAAAUA